GUUUGACCCCUUUAAUCAUCUCUGCGUGGCUGUAUAUAAAUAAUACAUAUACAUUAUCAAGUUAGAAAUUGGUACUAUUAUUGUUGUUAUAGAAUUUCUUUGGAGCAAAGAUGAGUGAGCCACCAAAGUACGCACAUCCUUACCCUGCUCAAGGUUAUUAUCAAGGUCCUCCAGUGAUGCCGCCACCACCUCAAUAUUAUUAUGCAGCUCCUCCCCCGAGAAGGGAACCUGGUUUUCUUGAGGGAUGUCUGGCUGCUUUGUGUUGCUGUUUCCUGAUUGAUGAGUGUUGCUGCGACCCUUCAAUCCUCUUCAUCUGUUGAUAUACGAUUUUAUUUCUCUCAGAUAAAUAAAUAUUGUACUCCUUGUUAUUAGGAUUUUUAUUAUAUUUGAGUUUUACUUUUUCUUUUCUCUAGAAAAAUGAUAGUAUUAAAAAAAUUUAUAAGUAUUUUUGAUGUUUGGUUGAGGAAAAAAUUGUAUCUUUAUAAAUUAAAACUGAUUCUUGAUCUCUAUCACAACACAACAACAUUCAUGUGGUCGUUUAUAGAGUAUUGUUUAAGGGAGGUUUCUCUCUCAACAAUUUAGAUGUUAUAUUAGUUUCUUCUAUAUAGUUCGCUUGGUCAAAUAAUAUUAAUGUAUUAUAAUUAAUGUUUUAAUAUAAUUUUAUUUGUGAUCUAA